rnacentral:rRNA from 3 species
UGUACACACCGCCCGUCGCUACUACCGAUUGAAUGGCUCGGUGAGGCCUUCGGACUGGCCCAGGGAGGUCGGCAACGACCACCCAGGGCCGGAAAGUUGGUCAAACCCGGUCAUUUAGAGGAAGUAAAAGUCGUAACAAGGUCUCCGUAGGUGAACCUGCGGAGGGAUCAUUA